rnacentral:lncRNA from 1 species
GAGAGAGAGAGACAAAAAGAAAGAAAGAAAGAAAGAGUUGUUAAAGCCAUACCCAAUGUUAUUAAAGCCACACCUCAAUGUUAUUAAAUCCACACCCCUUCUUACCAUUUCAUAAUUGAUGCCAUCUAUUUUCCAUCUCUAUCUCCCAUUCCCAACUCCAUACCUUUGUUUUUUUCCCUUGUUUUUUAUUUCUAUUUUCUUCCCUCUUGCUUUGUCUCUCGUCCAAAUUCUCUUCUCUCCUCCCUUCCUUCUC